AGCGGUGUAGUGUAAUAGUAACAUAUACGGCUCAUGCCCGUAAGAUACUGGGUGCAAUUCCCAUCGCCGCGU
rnacentral:tRNA from 1 species